CGUAGGGUGCGUAGCGUUAAUCGGAAUUACUGGGCGUAAAGUGUAGCGCAGGCGGCCGAGCAAGUCGAGUGUGAAAGCCCCGAGCUUAACUUGGGAAUUGCGCUCGAAACUACUUGGCUGGAGUGUGGCAGAGGAAGGUGGAAUUCCAGGUGUAGCGGUGAAAUGCGUAGAGAUCUGGAGGAACACCGAUGGCGAAGGCAGCCUUCUGGGCCAACACUGACGCUCAUGCACGAAAGCGUGGGGAGCAAACAGGAUUAGAUACCCUGGUAGUCCACGCCCUAAACGAUGAUGACUAGUUGUUGGAGGAGUUAAAUCCUUUAGUAACGCAGCUAACGCGUGAAGUCAUCCGCCUGGGGAGUACGGUCGCAAGAAUUA
rnacentral:rRNA from 1 species